GACGAACGCUGGCGGCGUGCUUAACACAUGCAAGUCGAGGGGUAGAGUUCUUCGGAACUUGAGACCGGCGCACGGGUGCGUAACGCGUAUGCAAUCUACCUUAUACAGGGGAAUAGCCCAGAGAAAUUUGGAUUAAUGCCCCAUAGCAUUACGACUUGGCAUCAAGAUGUAAUUAAAGUUCCAACGGUAUAAGAUGAGUAUGCGUCCCAUUAGUUAGUUGGUAAGGUAACGGCUUACCAAGACGAUGAUGGGUAGGGGUCCUGAGAGGGAGAUCCCCCACACUGGUACUGAGACACGGACCAGACUCCUACGGGAGGCAGCAGUGAGGAAUAUUGGUCAAUGGUCGCAAGACUGAACCAGCCAUGCCGCGUGCAGGGAGACGGUCCUAUGGAUUGUAAACUGCUUUUAUACAGGAAGAAACCCUCCCACGUGUGGGAGCUUGACGGUACUGUAGGAAUAAGGAUCGGCUAACUCCGUGCCAGCCGCCGCAGUAAAAC
rnacentral:rRNA from 1 species